rnacentral:rRNA from 2 species
UGCAGUCGAGCGAAUGGAUUGAGAGCUUGCUCUCAAGAAGUUAGCGGCGGACGGGUGAGUAACACGUGGGUAACCUGCCCAUAAGACUGGGAUAACUCCGGGAAACCGGGGCUAAUACCGGAUAACAUUUUGAACCGCAUGGUUCGAAAUUGAAAGGCGGCUUCGGCUGUCACUUAUGGAUGGACCCGCGUCGCAUUAGCUAGUUGGUGAGGUAACGGCUCACCAAGGCAACGAUGCGUAGCCGACCUGAGAGGGUGAUCGGCCACACUGGGACUGAGACACGGCCCAGACUCCUACGGGAGGCAGCAGUAGGGAAUCUUCCGCAAUGGACGAAAGUCUGACGGAGCAACGCCGCGUGAGUGAUGAAGGCUUUCGGGUCGUAAAACUCUGUUGUUAGGGAAGAACAAGUGCUAGUUGAAUAAGCUGGCACCUUGACGGUACCUAACCAGAAAGCCACGGCUAACUACGUGCCAGCAGCCGCGGUAAUACGUAGGUGGCAAGCGUUAUCCG